rnacentral:rRNA from 1 species
GACGAACGCUGACGGCGUGCUUUAGACAUGCAAGUCGAACGAGAAAGCCCUUCGGGGUUAGUAAAGUGGCGAACGGGUGAGUAACACGUGGGCAAUCUGCCCUUCGUAGGGGGACAACCGGGGGAAACCCCGGCUAAUACCCCGUAAGCUUGUCGGGUCGCAUGGCCUGACAAGGAGAGGUAGCUUCGGCCAUCCGGCGAAGGAGGAGCCCGCGGUUCAUUAGCUAGUUGGUGAGGUAACGGCUCACCAAGGCUACGAUGUAUAGCUGGUCUGAGAGGAGGAGCAGCCACACGGGGACUGAGACACGGCCCGGAAUCCGACGGGAGGCAGCAGUCGGGAAUCUUGCACAAUGGGCGAAAGCCUGAUGAAGCAACGCCGUGUGAGCGGCGAAGGCCUUAGGGUCGUAAAGCUCUGUUGUUAGGGACGAAGGGCGAAGGGUUAAUAGCCCUUAGCCUGACGGUACCUUUCGAGGAAGCCCCGGCUAACUACGUGCCAGCCGCCGCAGUAA